AGUCGACGGCAGCGCGGGGCAACCUGGCGGCGAGUGGCGAACGGGUGAGUAAUACAUCGGAACGUGCCCUGUGAUGGGGGAUAACUACGCGAAAGCGUAGCUAAUACCGCAUACGACCUACGGGUGAAAGUGGGGGAUCGCAAGACCUUACGUCAUAGGAGCGGCCGAUGGCGGAUUAGCUAGUUGGUGAGGUAAAGGCUUACCAAGGCGACGAUCCGUAGCUGGUCUGAGAGGACGACCAGCCACACUGGGACUGAGACACGGCCCAGACUCCUACGGGAGGCAGCAGUGGGGAAUCUUGGACAAUGGGCGCAAGCCUGAUCCAGCAAUGCCGCGUGUGGGAUGAAGGCCUUCGGGUUGUAAACCACUUUUGGCGGGGAAGAAAUUCCGGGUGCUAAUACCACCCGGUGAUGACGGUACCCGCAGAAUAAGCACCGGCUAACUACGUGCCAGCAGCCGCGGUAAUACGUAGGGUGCGAGCGUUAAUCGGAAUUACUGGGCGUAAAGCGUGCGCAGGCGGUUUGGUAAGACAGAUGUGAAAUUCCCGGGCUUAACCUGGGAACUGCAUUUGUGACUGCCAGGCUAGAGUGCGGCAGAGGGGAGUGGAAUUCCGCGUGUAGCAGUGAAAUGCGUAGAUAUGCGGAGGAACACCGAUGGCGAAGGCAACUCCCUGGGCCUGCACUGACGCUCAUGCACGAAAGCGUGGGGAGCAAACAGGAUUAGAUACCCUGAUAGUCCACGCCCUAACGAUGUCGACUAGUUGUGGACGGGAUACUGUUCAGUAACGUAGCUACGCGUGAAGUCG
rnacentral:rRNA from 1 species